AGUCGCACGAGAAAGGCGGGGCAACCUGCCGAGUACAGUGGCGCAAGGGCGAGGAAUACAUGGGUAACGUACCUCAAGCACAGGGAUAGCUCGCCGAAAGGCGAGGUAAUACCUGAUAAGACCACGGUCCCUCAGGGGACAGCGGUCAAUGGGCGGGGAUCCCUUCGGGGACCUGUCGGCUUCUGCGCGGCCCAUGUCCUAUCAGCUAGUUGGCGAGGUAACGGCUCACCAAGGCUUCGACGGGUACCGGGACUGAGAGGUUAGUCCGGCGCAUUGGCACUGAGACACUGGCCAGACUCCUACGGGAGGCUGCAGUAACGGAUAUUGGGCAAUGGGCGAAAGCCUGACCCAGCGACGCCGCGUGCAGGAUGAAGGUCUUCGGAUUGUAAACUGCUGUCAGGGGCUACCUAGUGACCGUGGCCAACAUCCACGGAAGCUGAGGCGCCCCAGAGGAAGCCACGGCUAACUUCGUGCCAGCAGCCGCGGUAAGACGAACGUGGCAAGCGUUGUUCGGAAUCACUGGGCUUAAAGAGCACGUAGGCGGGCCGUUAAGCGCCUUGUGAAAGCCCCCGGCUCAACCGGGGAAUUGCUUGGCGUACUGGCGGUCUUGAGGCAGGUAGGGGCGUGGAGAACUCUUGGUGGAGCGGUGAAAUGCGUAGAUAUCAAGAGGAAUGCCGGAGGUGAAGACGCCGCGCUGGGCCUGUGCCUGACGCUGAGGUGCGAAAGCCAGGGGAGCAAACGGGAUCAGAUACCCCGGUAGUCCUGGCCGUAAACGAUGUCCACUAGGUCGGUGGUUCUCUGACGAAUUACUGGCCGAAAGAAAACCGAUAAGUGGACCGCCUGGGGAGUACGGUCGCA
rnacentral:rRNA from 1 species